rnacentral:rRNA from 1 species
AGCAGGGGACCGCAAGGCCUUGCGCUCUUUGAGCGGCCGAUAUCAGAUUAGCUAGUUGGUGGGGUAAAAGCUCACCAAGGCGACGAUCUGUAGCGGGUCUGAGAGGAUGAUCCGCCACACUGGAACUGAGACACGGUCCAGACUCCUACGGGAGGCAGCAGUGGGGAAUUUUGGACAAUGGGGGCAACCCUGAUCCAGCCAUGCCGCGUGAGUGAAGAAGGCCUUCGGGUUGUAAAGCUCUUUCAGCCGGGAAGAAAACGCAUCCUCUAAUACAGGGUGUGGAUGACGGUACCGGAAUAAGAAGCACCGGCUAACUACGUGCCAGCAGCCGCGGUAAUACGUAGGGUGCGAGCGUUAAUCGGAAUUACUGGGCGUAAAGCGUGCGCAGGCGGUUUGUUAAGACAGGCGUGAAAUCCCCGGGCUCAACCUGGGAACUGCGCUUGUGACUGGCAAGCUAGAGUAUGGCAGAGGGGGGUGGAAUUCCACGUGUAGCAGUGAAAUGCGUAGAGAUGUGGAGGAACACCGAUGGCGAAGGCAGCCCCCUGGGCCAAUACUGACGCUCAUGCACGAAAGCGUGGGGAGCAAACAGGAUUAGAUACCCUGGUAGUCCACGCCCUAAACGAUGUCAACUAGGUGCUGGAUGGGUAAAACCAUUUAGUACCGGAGCUAA